CGCGUCCAAUCCCUCUCCCUGCACAUCCUGAAUCCCAACCCUGAAGCCCUGAGAAAGGCCCCGUCCAGAGUGGGGAUUCUGUUAUGCUCCUGCCGGGGAUGGGGCUGAUCAAGGGGGACUAGGAUCAGCACCGAGGCAGGGAGAGGCGCUGGGGAGGACAAUUUAAGGGGCACUGAGGGUGGGAAGACAGGGGCUGGGGAAGGGUGAGGGUGGCACUGGGGCUUGGGGCAGCCGGCAGGAGGGCUGUGACGGUGAAGGACCCAGGGAUGGGUGGAAUGGGCCAUGGAGGUGCAGGCAUCUGUGUCCUUCUUCCCAUAUCUCCCGCUCCUCAGUUUCCAGAGCAGCGGCUGGGAAAUUGUGCUGACACCAGAGAAGUGCUCGCGCUGCUCAGCCCGUUAUCAGCAGGGCUGGGAGUGGGGGGCGGGGGGAGCCGCUCAGACAUGCUCCAGACUGAUAAAGUGGGGAGACAACGGAGGCUGCAUCUUAACGAGGCUUCUCCCAGCAGCGCUGGCCGCCGUGCCCCAGAAUCUGGGCAGGUCUCGACCCUUUGGCCCCAGCAGGCCCAGGGGGAAACGUCCUUCUCUCCCCAUCCCAGGGCCCCGAUUCUCCUGCUCUGGGUCCUACACUGGGAGGCCUGGGGUCCUGGUCCCUCCCUGUGUGUGUGUGAGAGAGAGAGAGAUUAGAUGUGUGAACCUGGGCAUGCACAUGUGUGUGAGAUAGCGUGUGUGACUCAAUGGGCAAGAAUGAGCGUGAAAGAGGAAUGUGUGGGGGUGUGACAGAGACAGUCUGCUCCAGAGGGCGAGCGGGAAUGUGCGCGAGUCUGUGUGUGCGACAGACAGUGGGACCGGCCGUGUGUGCCAGACCGUGUGCGUCGGAGCAUGGAGAGAGCGAUUGCGGGUUGUGGGGCACAGGAAGGGGGAGAACGACAGGAAUCUGGGGAGGUGUUGCCAGAGGAUCGAAACGCGCUGGCAGCCUGGCGCUGAGGAAGCCUGCAAGCCUCUCGCCCACACUCCGACUGGCUCCAGCUUCCCGAUCCAGCCUUGUGCUUUUACGAGCAUAAAAAUUUCAACGUCCCCUCCAAAAAAACGGAGCAGAUGAAAGCUG